GGACAAGUCCAGCUUUGUUCACUAUGUGUGUCAACCUUGUCAGGAUAAUCUCAAACCAACUGUAGCCUAAAUAAUUAAAAAGAGUACAAACUGAUCUAAACUGAAUUGGAAACUAAUCCAUGGUUGCAAAUAUACCACAGUUUUUUUCAGCUCACUAUCUAUCAUACCUAUAACAACGUGAAUUCAUUAUAAGAUGUCAGUUCUCAACCAAAUAGCUCUACAAUGUCCUAGGAGAGUCACCGUCUCCUUUAUUUUCAAAACAGAAAAGCUAGCCCUUGAGUAACCACGAACCUCCAAACAUGAUGCAUCACCAAAUGCAGAUUGUGUUUUCAAAGUCAUGACCUGUUAGCUCCCGAUCUUUGUUGCAAAAAUACAAUCAAGGGAUCUCACUCCAUAGUGACUUUGGCUCCAACCGCUUUCAUCUUCUCAAUAAUUUUCUCAGCCUCCUCUUUCGUAACCCCUUUCUUCAAACUAGCUGGAGCCUUUUCCACCAAAUCCUUAGCCUCCUUGAGUCCCAGAUCAGUAAAAGAUCUCACUUCCUUGAUAAUCUUAAUCUUUGCCCCGGCAUCAAAUCCCCCUUCAAGCUUCAGAUCAAACACAGUCUUCUCCGCCUUCUCCUCCGUCUUUCCCGCAGCUCCUGCACCCUUUCCCUUCAUCCCUCCAGCACUAAAUCCCAUUCCAGGCAUCAUCAUUGCCAUUACAGGCAUCUCUUCAAUACCCAUUUUCUUCCUUAGAACCUCCCCCAAAUCCGAUACUUCCAGCAACGUUAGACCCGAAAUCUCAUCGACUAUCGCAGAUACUCUCUCGGAUGGGGCCGGCUUAGACUCCUGAGCUGAUGUUGUGAAAUUUGAACUAAUUAACGAUUUAGUGAAGCUGUAGAAAUGGGUUUUGGAUAAAUUUUGAAUCUUGGACUGUGGAAUUCGUGAAUGCACAUAAGGUGUUUGAUAUGUGGAAAUAGUUCUUGAACGGCGAGACAGCAAUUGAUUGAUAAAUCGAUUAAAGCACCUCAUGAUUACAGAAUCUUAUAGCAUAAGAACUUCUGCUUGGACUUUGUAACGGCGCCGGAGAUAGUGAUUACGGCGGCGGGUUUAAGCCGUCUGGGAGAAGUACCAAGGUUGGGGAAGUGAGGUUUUAGGCCUACUAGCAUACACUUGGGCCCCUU
rnacentral:misc_RNA from 1 species